rnacentral:lncRNA from 1 species
CUGAACGCCUCGCAAGCCCUCUUCCCGGUGGAGCGAGGCAGCAGCUCUGACUGGUGUACCUAGGCUCAACUGCGGAGCUAAGGGAGGUUUUCCAUCGUCGGAGGUGAAAAAUGUGACCCACUGGAGCUUAGAAAAUGCGCAAAGUCUCUUCAAGAUCGAGUUUGGAGAUCCUGGUUUUGAGGAUGUUUAUGUUCUCUUUUGCAUGGCCAUGAAUGUCAAGAGAAGCUACUGUAUUCUCAGCCCUAAGGAGUUAAUUCUGAUUGGCUUUAAGCCCACUAUUGGUGGCCUGGACCUUCACUUGCCACUAGGGUGAACAGACAGGCAUCAUGCAUCACAUUUUCAGGAAGCAGCUUGCCGUAACAUUUUGCAACAUGCUUGGAUGUCCUGGAUAUGAGAAGACCAACCAGAAGGUCAGAAACUGAAAAUUGGUUUGCAGAAUAGUUUGAGUGAACGUCUUAAGGUUACAAAGGCAAGCAUAUGGAGAUCUACGUUUGCAUCUUUGAAUUGUAGGAGGCAGAUCUAUUCAACACAUUGCUAGGAGGCAUCCACUGAACAGCCCAGAUGCUAGACUCUGUUAUGAAUGAGAGAAGCAGAAGGACUUCCUAUGCCAUCGGCUCUGUGUUUUCAAGUAUUUUCCAGCAUUCAACAGUACUUACGUAGUGGACAUGACUUCAUCUGCGAAGAGAAAACCAACUCAAAAUGGAGAAAUAACAGUAAGAAAAUUUAUGAUGUCACAGAAGAGGAUACACAAGGGAAGGCAAUCCUAAGAUUGAUGGGAAACAUAGGAAAAAGAAGAUAAUACUGGAACAAGGUGUUGGAGGAUGACAGCUAAAUCCCACUUCAACCAAGCAACCAACCAACCCACCCUGAGAAGUUUCCAUUCCAGGGGCUGGAUGGAAAGAAGUACCUCCAAAGAAUAUAUGUAUAACUUCAUAUCUCUUCAGGGUCUUUGGUAGAGCGAUCCAAUUUGGGAAGACCAGUCUUUGAAAAACUAUGAAAACUAUUUGCUAAUAUUAUGAAAAGCACAAUUUUCCUUUGCAUCUCUCUCUUUGAAUGUUAUAGGACUAUAUAGAAAGCUGCAGAUAUAAUGCCACAGUAAUUAGAAACUUUCCCCUCUAAAGACUGAAAAGCAGCUAACUCGUGGACUCACUAUACUUUCUUCAAAUGAUUUUUUUCUGGAAGCAUCGUAACAUUCAAUAAGUAGUCACAAUUUUUUUAAAUUAUUUAUCCAUAAGAUUAAAAGAAGUCCCUCCAUAUGUGUGCUCUAUAAAUAUUUGUUGAAUAAAAGACUCAAUUAAAAAAUAAUAAAAAAGCAGUUUUGCAAAUUGCUAAUCACAUCCACUCUAGUGAGAAAUAGACAUGCAACCAUUAGUUCCCUCUUUUUCUG